GAGUUUGAUCCUGGCUCAGAACGAACGCUGGCGGCGCGCUUAACACAUGCAAGUCGAACGGUCCCGAUAAAGCCGUAAGGUGAUAUCGGGGUAGUGGCAAACGGGUGAGUAACACGUGGAUAAUCUACCUUUGAGUGGGGGAUAACUCUGCGAAAGUGGAGCUAAUACCGCGUAAGACUACAGAAUCGCAUGAUUCAGUAGUAAAAGGUUUUCGAUUUUCGGAGGUCGCUCAGGGAUGAGUCCGCGCCUGAUUAGCUAGUUGGUAGGGUAAUAGCUUACCAAGGCAACGAUCAGUAGCCGGCCUGAAAGGGUGUUCGGCCACACUGGAAUUGAGAUACGGUCCAGACUCCUACGGGAGGCAGCAGUGGGGAAUCUUGCGCAAUGGGGGAAACCCUGACGCAGUGACGCCGCGUGAACGAUGAAGUCCUUCGGGAUGUAAAGUUCUGUCAGACGGGAAGAACCCCCUCGAUUGCAUCGGGGGAAUGACGGUACCGUCAGAGGAAGCACUGGCUAAUUCCGUGCCAGCAGCCGCGGUAACACGGAGAGUGCAAGCGUUGUUCGGAAUUACUAGGCGUAAAGAGCGUGUAGGUGGUUAGCUAAGUCGGAUGUGAAAAUUCCAAGCUCAACUUGGAACGUGCAUUCGAAACUGGUUAACUUGAGUGUAGGAGAGGAGAGCGGAAUUCCUAGUGUAGCGGUGAAAUGCGUAGAUAUUAGGAAGAACACCGGUGGCGAAGGCGGCUCUCUGGCCUAAAACUGACACUGAGACGCGAAAGCGUGGGUAGCGAACAGGAUUAGAUACCCUGGUAGUCCACGCCGUAAACGAUGGGCAUUAGGUGUAGGAGGUAUCCAAUCCUUCUGUGCCGAAGUUAACGCAUUAAAUGCCCCGCCUGGGGAGUACGACCGCAAGGUUGAAACUCAAAGGAAUUGACGGGGGCCCGCACAAGCGGUGGAGCAUGUGGUUUAAUUCGAUGCAACGCGAAGAACUUACCUGGGCUUGACAUGUACUUGAAUGUGCCAGAAAUGGUACAGUCCGAAAGGACANGUGCACAGGUGCUGCAUGGCUGUCGUCAGCUCGUG
rnacentral:rRNA from 1 species